AGCAGCAGCCGCGGGAACACGUAGGGUGCAAGCGUUAAUCGGAACUACUGGGCGUAAAGCGUGCGCAGGCGGUUUGUUAAGACAGAUGUGAAAUCCCCGGGCUCAACCUGGGGACUGCAUUUGUGACUGGCAAGCUAGAGUAUGGCAGAGGGGGGUGGAAUUCCGCGUGUAGCAGUGAAAUGCGUAGAUACGCGGAGGAACACCGAUGGCGAAGGCAGCCCCCUGGGCCAAUACUGACGCUCAUGCACGAAAGCGUGGGGGGCAAACAGGAUUAGAUACCCCUGUAGUCCCUGUCUCUUAUAC
rnacentral:rRNA from 1 species